rnacentral:rRNA from 1 species
CAAGGAAUUUUCCCCAAUGGGCGCAAGCCUGAGGGAGCAACGCCGCGUGCAGGACGACGGCUUUCGGGUUGUAAACUGCUUUUGCGUGGGACGAUAACGACGGUACCACGCGGAUAAGCCCCGGCUAACUCCGUGCCAGCAGCCGCGGUAAUACGGAGGGGGCAAGCGUUGUUCGGAAUUACUGGGCGUAAAGGGCGCGUAGGCGGUUUGUCACGUCAGAUGUGAAAGCCCCGGGCUCAACCUGGGAGGUGCAUUUGAUACGGGCAGGCUUGAACCCGGCAGAGGGUGGUGGAAUUCCCAGUGUAGAGGUGAAAUUCGUAGAUAUUGGGAAGAACACCGAUGGCGAAGGCAGCCACCUGGGCCGGUGUUGACGCUGAGGCGCGAAAGCGUGGGGAGCAAACAGGAUUAGAUACCCCCGUAGUCC